CCUACGGGAGGCUGCAGUGGGGAAUAUUGGGCAAUGGAGGCAACUCUGACCCAGCAACGCCGCGUGAAUGAUGAAGGUCUUCGGAUUGGAAAGUUCUGUGAUGGGGGAUGUACACAAUGACGGUACCCCAAUAGCAAGCCACUGCUAACUACGUGCCAGCAGCCGCGGUAAUACGUAGGUGGCAAGCGUUAUCCGGAAUGACUGGGGGUAAAGGGUGCGUAGGUGGUUUAGUAAGUUGGAGGUGUAAUUCCGGGGCUCAACCUCGGCGCUACCGCCAAUACUAUUAGACUAGAGUGCAGGAGCGGUAAGUGGAAUGUAUAGUGUAGCGGUGGAAUGCGUAGAUAUUA
rnacentral:rRNA from 1 species